AAAUUGAAGAGUUUGAUCAUGGCUCAGAUUGAACGCUGGCGGCAGGCCUAACACAUGCAAGUCGAACGGUAACAGGAAGCAGCUUGCUGCUUUGCUGACGAGUGGCGGACGGGUGAGUAAUGUCUGGGAAACUGCCUGAUGGAGGGGGAUAACUACUGGAAACGGUGGCUAAUACCGUAUAACGUCGCAAGACCAAAGAGGGGGACCUUCGGGCCUCUUGCCAUCAGAUGUGCCCAGAUGGGAUUAGCUUGUUGGUGAGGUAACGGCUCACCAAGGCGACGAUCCCUAGCUGGUCUGAGAGGAUGACCAGCCACACUGGAACUGAGACACGGUCCAGACUCCUACGGGAGGCAGCAGUGGGGAAUAUUGCACAAUGGGCGCAAGCCUGAUGCAGCCAUGCCGCGUGUAUGAAGAAGGCCUUCGGGUUGUAAAGUACUUUCAGCGGGGAGGAAGGUGUUG
rnacentral:rRNA from 1 species